rnacentral:lncRNA from 1 species
UCCAUUGGAAAACAUGAGUACUUUUCGUUUGUUUACUUCAAAAUGGACAUGAUAUUUUUUUAUGUAGCUUCUUCAGGAAGACAUGGGAUUUUUCACAAUAUUUUCAAGGUUGCGGAAGCAACGAGUUAACUUAAAAUGGGUAAAAAGAAAUAUGCGUGUGAGACUCGUAUGUCAUUGGCUAUAACAUGAUAUACUCUUUUUUUUGUUUUUUGUUUUCAGAUGUCACUUCUUAAAACGAACAUUUUUUUACAUCAGUUCUUGAAAAGAACAUGAUAUACUCAUGUAGUCCUCUCGUAGGAAAACUCCCUUGGGUCCGUACUAUCCAUCGGGAAACAUUAGUACUUUUCGUUCGUUUACUUCAAAAUGGACAUGAUAUUUUUUUAUGUAACUUCUUCAGGAAGACAUGAAAUUUUUCACAAUAUUUUCAAGGUUGCCGAAGCAACAAGUUAACUUCAAAUCGGUAAAAAGAAAUCUGCGUGUGAGACUCGUAUGUCAUUGGCUAUAACAUUUUCUUCCCGGCUCAACUCCCCACUCACACAAAGCAUG